CAGCCGCCAUGAGGCCUCCCCUCAGCUCCUCUGCUCUGGGCUGAGCAGACCCAGGGACGUCAGCUGCUCCUCAUCUUCCUCUCGAGACCCUCCACCAUCUUUGUAGCCCUCUGUAGAAAAGUAAACUUCUCUAACUGGAGAGAGCUAAACAGGUUAUGCAUUGUUUGAAAUGGGAAAAUGAAAUUUGCAGAGGGCUUUUUGAUAAUACUGUACUGUAGGGAAAAAGAAACUGUUCGGGUAGCUUUGCUUGAAGUGUUUGUUUUUAUCAAAGAUAUCACCAGAUUUGUAUCAAUAUGCUUAUUAUUUUUUUAAAACCAAAACAGACCUACUUUCAGAGAGUGGUGAGGCACUGGCACAGGCUGCCCAGAGAAGCUGUGGACACCCAUCCCUGGUGGCAUUUAAGACCAGGUUCACUGGGGCCCUGGGCAGCCUGAGCUGGUGGGGGGUAGGCCUGCGCAUGGCAAUGGGUUGGAACUAGAUGAUCUUCUGACCCAAGCCAUUCUAUGAUUCUACAAUUCUAUGCUUUUAAGAUUCUAUGUUUUUAUGAUCCUAUGAUUUUAUAUGCAUUGGCUACACAUUGUAGCCAUGUCUGCACCUUUGUUAAGGUGCUGUGACAUGUACACCAUGCAUGCUCCAGCAUUCAAAGAAGCCUCCUCUCUGUGCUGGGGUGUCUCAACAUUCAGAGAACCUGUCACACUCUGCAACCGAUUGCUUAUUCACACCUCACCAACUUGGAAAUGAAAACUUGGCCCCCUGCAAUCAGCAGAAAGAUGCUUCACUGUGAUAACUUCCCUGACCAAAGGGAGAUAAAACAGGGACAAAACCAGCAACAGCCUAAGAGAGCUUUUUUCUCUAGUGCUAUUUCAUAAGCAGAAAAGUAUCAGAGAAUCAGAAUACAUAGAGAUAAGCUAAUGAGAUAAUCACAAAAAUGAAGUACUUUUCUCAUAAUAAUAGUCUUGGAGAGAACAACUUGUAGAACCUAGGAAAAUACAGGCUGAUAGUGUGAGGGAGGAAAGCAAAUGUUUUGAGUGAAGUUGGUGGAAAAAUGUACAACUAUAAUUCAGCCAGGAAUAAAUAUAAGCUAGAAGCUAGAAGGAAGGCUCACCAGGGAUUUCUAAAUUUAGGAACAGCCUCUGUCAUGAGUGGUGAGGACCAAAAAAUCCCAACAACUUUUAAGAUUGAAUGAUUUCAGUUCAUGACAGAGAUUGCAAGAAGUGGUUAUGUAUGAUAGCAGGGCAUUAAAUUCGGGGAGUCACAAUCCCCCUGGUUCUCCUGUGUUAAUGGCAGCAGAACUAAGCUAGAAGAUAAGAUGGAUUGUCAGAAUUCACACUGCAUUAAAAGAAAGACAAGAAUUCCAUGAGUUUACACAGCUUAUGGUCGGAACUAUUUCAUUCACAAGGGGCCAUAAUCUGAUGUUCAAUAUUUACAUUUAAGAUGCUAAAAUAAGAUGUGACUAACUAGACACCAAUCCUUGCUCAAGUGAUUUUUCUGAAUUAGCAAUGAUAUAAAGCCGAGUAAUCUAGAUGGAGAGAUCCAAAACAGUCCAUGCCAGCAUGUUCUAAAGCAUGGUAGUUAGUCCCAUAUUAAAAGCCCUCAGGUAGUCAAAGUAAGUCCAAUCAAAUGCACCUUCUGAGUAAUUGUUCCAAUCACCGACAUGGGGAAUAAUUGAAACCAUGACAUUACUUCCUCAGUUUGGAAAAUUUAGCCCUUCCUUGGCUUUCUGUUCUGUACAAAAAAUAGCAAAAAAUAUUUUGUGUGUUAUUUUAAACCACCAAAGAAAAUUAAAAAACAAACAAAACAAAACAAACAGAACAACAGAAGCAUAGCAAAUGAUACACAGCACACUUGCUCACCAUUAGCCAACUGAUGCUCAGCCCGUCACCAAGCAACAGCAGGUCUCUCAGCCAACUUCCCCACUCUCACUCUUCAGCACGACACCACAUGGUACUGGACAUUCCUUUGACCAAUUUAGGUCAGCUGUCCUGGCCAUGUGCCCUCCCAGCUCAUGUGCAGCCCCAGUCCCCUCACUGGCAGGGCAGCACAAGAAGCUGAGAUGUCCCUGGCUCUGUGCAGCACAGUACAGAAACAUCACAGAGUUAUCAGCGCUAUUUUCAUUACAAGUCCAAAUCACAGGACAAUAUGAACUACUGUGAAGAAAAUUAAUUCUAGCCCAACCAAACUAGAGCAGUAAGACACGAUUAAAGGUGAUCUAGAAAUGCAAAGGUCUUGCUUACAAUUCAAAACACAAUACUUAAGGCACUGCUUCUGUACACUAUUCAGCCAGCUUGUGCCUAUUGAACACUGUUUUCAUACUGCUGGUCUGAAAUAUGCCAGGGAAGAUUUCCUCCAAUUAACCAGGAAACAAGACUGUAGCACUAGCUGCGAUGCUGCAAUAAAGAGAAGUUGCCUGUCUCAUCUGACUGUGUUGCCUCAGUUCUUGUAAGUAUUCCUUCUGACACACCAGACAAAACUCUGCAUUCAUAUUUAGGGAGAUCUGGCAUCACAGUGGUGACACCCUAGGUCUACUCUGUACAAGCAGAAUUUACUUCACAUUUGGUCUUGAUAAAAUCAAUUUAGUUUUCUCCUUUUUCUUUCCUCCAAGGAAUCUUCACCUAAAUAUAAAAAAUAUAAAAAAUGCUGGUUCUUCCAUAAUCCACAUUAGCUUCUCAGUUAAUUGCCAACAUUUAUGCUUCAUCUAUACUUGGGUUUUUUAAACCUCUUGAUUUUCAACUUGAAAAGGUUGAAACAGAGUGUGUUGGAGACUCCCUGUCACAGCAAGUUUCCCCAGGGGGUGUGGCCAAAGGCUGAGUGGGAUUUUUUUCAAAGGCCGUAUCAGAAUUGCUCUUUGAAUUCAGACACUGAAGUUGUUCUCUGGCAAAAAGUAGUCUGCAACAAUCUGUCAGAUCUUUUGCAGACUUGCAUAUCUGCUCAUUGGAAACAGCAUAUAUAAGAAAUAACUUGCAAAAACAAUUUGUGAGUGUAGCUCUUUCUUAGACACAUAGAAGAACGAUACAGGACUUCAGCAUGUAGUACUAAUAGACCAAAAUUGAGUUGGAAUUUUUUAUGAUAUUGAAUUUGUUGAAUAUGCACAAAACAGAUCAACUGUAGUCAAUAUAAACCUUUUUUUUUUUCAUCAGAUAAACAAAAAACUAAUUGAGAACAAAAAUAAACACACUCAACCAGAAGCAAAUGAAGACCUCAACUGCCUGCACUUCAGAAAAGUACAGCUCCCAGUGUUGCUACCAACAACGAAGAUACAGCAUAUCUGCAGUGCUGAUGUUAAUUUGAGUGGGAAAAGAAGGCAGAAGGAGAAGAGAGGCAGGUUCUGCUGCUACUAUUUUUUCUACAGUAUCCAAACAUUCAUGUUAGAGUAAGUCUCAAACUUUGCCUGACUUUUGAUGUCAGUAUCUCUAAUUCACAUUGACAUUUAGCCUAGACUUUUGAAGAUGCUUAAAUCACCUACUGAAUUUGCACUGCUGAUAUCUUAUACACCUUUAAGAAUCUUGUUGUGACUUCUUGCAGACAGCAAGGGUGACAGUUUCUACUUUUUACAAAUGUGAAGUUAGGAUUUUGUAAACAUAUUUAAUAAACAGAAACUCAAAAGUCCAUCACAUUAACAAGCAGGUUAUUUAAAUUCAACCAAUGCAAUUACAGCUAGUGGACUGAAAAGGAAGUUAGAAGAGGAAGUGUAGAGAAUAGACUAUAGACAGUGUAAUGUUGAUGGUAAUCAUUAUGCUUUUUUUCAGAGAAGAUGAAGAACUCUCUGCUUGCAGCUAUCAUUUUAUUUGCAGCAGAUUCCUGUGACUGUUUAAACUGGGAUUUUCCAUUUUGCAAGCAGCUUCCAGGUGCGUAAACAUUUCUCACAUGGUAACUACUUAAUGACAAAGAUGAAGACCUUUGCUGAUGGAAAUCUGUCAGCUGAAGUGAUUUGCAUUUGAAAUAUGGCACAGGGCUUUUUGGUUGAAAUUCAGAAUGUAGAAGCUGUGAAUUUCUGACCCUUUCACAAGACCUGCCUCACCAUUGCAGGGCUGCAGGCACACGGUCUAUCCCUGUUUCUAGUUUCUGGGGGCCUCCUAGUGGCCUCCUUGAAGGACACUAACAUCUGUAACAUUGAUAUUGACAAACUUUUACGGUUUAGAUUUAAUUAAUACAUUACUGUCAAUGGCAAAAUGGAUCAUUCAAAUAUGUAUCAGUAGAGGGUAUUUCAUAGCAGCUAGUGGUCAUGUUGAAUUUAUUGUAGGCAGAAAUAAUUCUACUUGCUAAGAGCCACAGCAGGGAAAAUACAUUUUUUAGUACAUAGUACUGGAUGAGACAUCAUAGUAAGACUGUAUUUUUCUGAUACUAGCCACGCAUUAUUUUCUAAGCCUUGCUAUUAUCCCAUUAGACUAAAUUUUAAAGCGCUACUGAGAAUACCAGACAAAUGAGAAGAAAAACAACUCUAGAGUGGAAAAACUAUGCCUCAUCUGUCUGCCUUCUGUUUCUUUGUUUUAAAGAGGAAAUUAGAUUGUGAUAUCUUUGGUACAGGGGAAUUUUUCUCUUUGUACACCCGAGUGCUGUCUUGGUACAAACCUAAAACUAUUUCAAGGUGUAGGGGAGCUAACAAUAUAUAUCUUCUUUCAGGGAAAGCAGUACAGUAAAACCAAAAAUGAAUAGGAAUAAACUGAAUGUGUACGUACACUAAAUCUCACAACUGUAGGACAUGUGAAAACACAGUAACAAGGUAUUGUCAGCUGAAGAGUGUAAUACAGGACUUGAGUAUAUUGGCUGGGGCAGCAGGUGUGGGGUAAGCUAAUACACAGUUUCUAUACAUAAAAGAUACUCUGCUACUAUUUUGUCUUGAUUAUUUUUAAAUUCUCUCACAGGGGAAAAUGUUUUUUUCUGAUAAGAUCAAGAGCAUGAAAAACAACACAAGCCCCUACUCUUUACGCAGAGACAGGUCUGCAACAGUGUGGUCACCACUUGGAUCUCAGUUAAUAGAAAUUAUCUGGAGAAGAAGUUAACAGAAAUUAUGUAGAAGGGUGAAAAGAUUUUCAUUAGAUUUCAUCCUCAGCAACCUCUCCAGAACUAAUAUUUCACCCAUUUCAAGAGUGGCAUAUUACAAACGUACUGACAUGAAGUGUUAGAGCAGUUCCAAAAAGGUUUUUUUUUUCCAGGUGUUCCUUUAAAAGAAAAUAAGAAUUACCAAGCCAAUGAAAGGCUCAAUUCAGAGUAAAAGAAGAGUAGAAUAUGAAAGCAGUUGCUCCUUUUGCUGGUUCUUACAGCACCAUGCAAGUGAGCAAGAUUUGGUUUGGUUGUUGGACUAGAAAGCAAAGAAUUCCCUAAUUAUUCAUAUUGCUCUAGAAACAAGCAAGACCUGAUCUCCACCUUCCAAAAAGGAAGCUGCACAUGCCUAUGAACUAAUGCAUCAAAAUUUCAUUGGAAAUGCACAUUUCUUCUGGUAGGAGAAAGAGGUGUUGGGGGAUGGUGAUCUUAAUUCAGAGCUAUACUGACAUACUUUCUCAUCUAAAUCUGCUGUUAAUUUAAAUAUAUAACUGACACCUGAACAUUGAAGUAAAUACCAAGGAUAGCUUGUAAUUCAGGUUAAAUGAAGAAAUCAUUCUGAAUAUGGAAAAGAGGAGGACCAAUCUUUUAGCACAUAACUUGGCUGAAUCUGAUAACUGAUCUGUAAUACUAAUUCCAGAGACAUAUAUUUACUAAUUGAAUAUCAAACAUUUCCUCUUUAAUACUGAUAAAUUUAUUGGCAGCUUACUAAACUCAUUACAUACAAGAAAGACAAGGUCCUAUUCAUUAUGAAAAAAUAGUUACAUUGAGUAUUCAUGCAUUUUGAGAUCCUUAUCUACUUUUCUGAAAAAAAAAGAAGAAAAAAACCACCCACAUUUCAUUUCUGCACCUUUUUUUGAAAAGUGUGGGUGAUACUUGGGCUGAUUCUUCUGACAGUCUUCAGACAGUAAAAUACAAAGCAAAAGGAGAACAGUCAGAUUUUAUGACUACAGUUUCUGAUAAGAGAUUUCUGAAAUACUAAAGUAUGCUUAACCACUACAGACUAAUGGAUCCUUUAAGAACAUCAUCAGUGUUCAAAUUCCCCUUGGCUGAACCACAGAUAUGCUCAACUGCAAAAAAACAACAACAACAAAAAAACAACCAACUCCUUUUUACCAAAAAUUAAGCACAAGUCAUUCUGUGUGAAAACUCACGUUCCUGCUUUGUAAUGUGAUUUUUAUGAGUCUGGUAGCUUACAGCAGUCUAUGGUUCUCCAGCAAUUAUUCUAAACUCCACAGAGAGAUGAUUGAUAAUUUUGGACUAAUUCUGGAGUCUGGUCAAUCCAUUCCAUUGCUGAAAAUUAGUCCUAUGCUACAGUGAUAUAAUAAUUUGCAAGAAACUCCCCAGUAAUUUUUACAGGUUGGACACUGCAGAAAUACCACAUUUGUCCUCGGUGUUGAUCACCAAAAUGCAAGCCCUCUCUUUUUUCCCCCACACUUAAAAUUAAUUAAGAAAUAAAUUAUUGCAUGGAAUUAAUUUCUAAGAUGUGAGGUCUAUGAGACCCUCAGUUCCAGCCUACACUUUCCAAAAUGUCUACAAACUCAUGUUUAGCACUCAGUAAGUUGCUACCGACAAAGCUACUGCCACAUCCAGUCUGUAGCCCUGCCAACAAACAGGAUCUUCCCCCACACAAGGCAGAUGCUCCUUGUUCUGCAAGGUCCUCAAGCCAUAGUGACUCCCCAGGGGACGUGGUUUGCUCUGAGGAUCUGGAGCAACCUCCCAUAAGGCACUGUCUCAUACAUGUUCCAGGAAACAGCUGAGUGGUGCCACACAGUUCCUUUUCCCAGUCUGUCACAUUAGCAGAGACACUGAGGGCACAACAGGAACUGCCUGACAGGGGUGAAACCACAGAAAAGAGCUGGGAGGCAAAAACCGAAGGUAUGCUAGGGUAGAGGUGCACAGCAAUUUUGUCAUAUGCUACAGGAAAAUUACCUUUCAAGAGCGUUCCUCAAAGUUACCCCAACAGAUGAUGAAAAGAUAGAAAUGCUUCCUUGCAUUCCAGAAAUUAUUUUAUGCCAGGGAAUGCAGUAGUGCUUCCCACAGUACGAAGGCACUCAAAUCAGACUUAAAGAAAAACAGUUCAAGCGCUAAAUAAGUGCAGAGGCAAGCAGGAAGCAAAACUGUCACUGCUGUGGGAGAGAAGUGCCCCUCAAAGGUGUCACAACACUGAAGCUGCAGGAAAGCAAGUAUUUCCGCACUGCGUUGUUUGGCACAGAAGAGAUCUCAAAGGAAACAUAAAACAUAGGGAGAAUGGUCCUUUUUCUACAUUUUCUACAUCUGUUUUACUUGGAAACAUGACUGAUCAUGUUUAAUCUCUUAAAUGACUCUGUCCCUUGUUUAAAUGUUAGUAAGCUGCUUGCCUUGAGAAUAAACAUGGCAUAAGGCUCAUACAGCAGCUACUUGUUUCAUUUUACAAAAGAUAUAGCUUGUUUUAUAUUUUUUGUCUUUUCAUUCUCCUAGUCUUCUUGCCCCUGUUGAUGGUAAAUAGUUGUUGGUGAUGGGUCUUUUCUAGUCUGUAUAUUUAAUCUUGCAGAUUGGGACAAUGAAUUGGCAUGUUACAAAGAACUAAGUGAGGAUCUAACCUGUACCUGGCUGCCAGCACCCAGUGUUCCAAAUAGUAUUAAUUAUACCUUAUUCUUAAAAUGGUAAGUCUAAAAGUAACUUCAGAAAAUGAAAAGUUAUCAUUGCUGUCUGGUGAUUCCUACCUGCCUAAAUUUUUUCAUACAUAUUUAAUCACGCUGUAGGUUGUUACACAGUACGGAUCAAGCCUUGCCUCACACCUCAUCAGUUCUUACUGACUUGGUAAGAGCCGCACAUUUCAAACUGCAAGGAGAGUGACAUUGGCAAGCACACACGGUACUAAGCAGACACUUACGUUAGCUUUAUAAUCAAUGCAGAAACAGCUAGAACCUGUGCUUGAACAUAACAGAUUUACAGAAAAGUUUGAAAUAGGUGCACAGAGUCAACAACUAUUUGUCUAAUCUGAGGAAGAGUGAUGUACCAUUUUCUAAUUUCAUGAGGAGUGCCCAGUAAAGCUACUCAGGACUGAAUUGAGAGGACCUCAGCUCUGUAG